GGCCGGUGGGCCCCCGGGGCAGGGCCCCACUGCGGGCGGGUCGGGCCAACCGCGCCGGGAGAGCGAGCGGGCGGGAAGGUGUUAGUGCAACACAAGGCAAAGUCCGUCCUCCAGCCCCGGGGGAGAGACUUGGCCAACACUUUCCAUUCAAACCAAGCUGACGAGGGACUCUCUCUCCCUGCCAGAGAGAGACUACGCAAGCCUGGGCACAGCGGUGCCAAGGCAUCAUUAAUGUGGACAGUUUGCAGUUUUACGUUUUAACUAUGGUGCCAUCUAUAUCUACUCGGACCAGCUCUAGCCAACAUGGUGGUUAAAAUGCUGGCAACUGUUCAUGGUCUACACUAACACUCCCACCAUUGUUACCUAUGGUCCUCUUUAUAUGUAUGUCCUAUAGCUGCCUUUCCUAAGAACAAGGACUCUGCCCUCUGGACCCAACUGCCAGUCAGAUCCACUGACUUCUUCCAGAUAAAGAGGAUUUACUUAUUUGCCACCAUUUAUUGAAAGUCACCAUCUCCUUUAGUACCUGAUGGGCAACCCCAGUGCUCCUGGAUAGUUCUGCGGAAAGACAACAUAAAAUUGUAGAUAAUGUUUUAUUAAAAUUUAUUUUUAAAAGUCAAA